UACGUAGGGGGCUAGCGUUGUCCGGAUUUAUUGGGCGUAAAGAGCGUGUAGGCGGUCCGGUAAGUCCGCUGUGAAAGUCGGGGGCUCAACCCUCGAAUGCCGGUGGAUACUGUCGGGCUAGAGUGCGGAAGAGGCGAGUGGAAUUCCUGGUGUAGCGGUGAAAUGCGCAGAUAUCAGGAAGAACACCAAUGGCGAAAGCAGCUUUCUGGGACGGUACUGACGCUGAGACGCGAAAGCGUGGGGAGCGAACAGG
rnacentral:rRNA from 1 species